rnacentral:rRNA from 1 species
UUCCGGUUGAUCCUGCCGGACCUGACUGCUAUCGGAUUGAUACUAAGCCAUGCUAGUCUUUGUAGUAAUACAAGGCAUACGGCUCAGUAACGCGUAGUCAACCUACCCUAUGGACGGGGAUAAUCUCGGGAAACUGAGCAUAAUACCCGGCAGACCACUUAUCCUGGAAUGGUUAGUGGUUAAAAUGAUUCGUCGCCAUAGGAUGGGACUGCGGCCUAUCAGCUUGUUGGUGAGGUAAUGGCCCACCAAGGCGAUUACAGGUACGGGCUCUGAGAGGAGAGGCCCGGAGAUGGGUACUGAGACAAGGACCCAGGCCCUAUGGGGCGCAGCAGGCGAGAAAACUUUGCAAUGUGCGAAAGCACGACAAGGUUAAUCCGAGUGAUUUCUGCUAAAGGAAUCUUUUGUUAGUUCUAAAAAUACUAGUGAAUAAGGGGUGGGCAAGUUCUGGUGUCAGCCGCCGCGGUAAAACCAGCACCUCAAGUGGUCAGGAUGAUUAUUGGGCCUAAAGCAUCCGUAGCCGGCUCUGUAAGUUUUCGGUUAAAUCUAUGCGCUCAACGUAUGGGCUGCCGAAAAUACUGCAGAGAUAGGGAGUGGGAGAGGUAGACGGUACUCGGUAGGAAGGGGUAAAAUCCUUUGAUCUAUCGAUGACCACCUGUGGCGAAGGCGGUCUACCAGAACACGUUCGACGGUGAGGGAUGAAAGCUGGGGGAGCAACCGGAUUAGAUACCCGGGUAGUCCCAGCUGUAAACGAUGCAGACUCGAUGAUGCAUUGGCAUAUAGCCAGUGCAGUGUCGCAGGGAAGCCGUUAAGUCUGCCGCCUGGGAAGUACGUACGCAAGUAUGAAACUUAAAGGAAUUGGCGGGGGAGCACCACAAGGGGUGAAGCCUGCGGUUCAAUUGGAUUCAACGCCGG